GGAGGAGGAGGAGGAGGAGGAGAGUGGGAAUGAUGAAAGAAAACCAGGAGAAAUGGAAAAGUUCCUCUGAAUGUUUGAUGAGAGUCCAGCUGCAGAUCUGAUGAUUAAACCUCUGAAAUGAUGUUUCAUAAAUGAUGAAGCAGGACUGGUGCAGCUGAAAGUCACCUUUUCAGUGCGUAACUUUUUAAUCACUUGAUAAUUUAGGAAAGUCAAUGUAAGCUGCUGAUUCACAGGAUGCCUCAGAUAAGAAAUAAAUGAAUCUCUAAUCUAACUGGUUAGA